GAUCUCCAGAUACUUUUUCUAACCUCAUUGUGUGCCAUCUGUCUUAGAAAAGACCAUCCUUUAAAGCUGACUGAUAGCCGCUGAUGCCAAAGAUAUGAAGAAAAGUAUUUCUGAAAUCAGCCUGCCCUGCAGAUGUUAAGGGACAUUAGAUGCAAGUCACUAGCAAGCCUUGGGCAGCAGAACAAUGCACGGAAUCCCUACUUCAGUGAAUUGAACCCUGAAGAGAUUAUGUCCAAGGUCACACAUCUGGGAAUGGGGAGGCCAGGAUUCACACCCAGGAGCCUGUGACUCUGAAGGGAGAUGUCGUAAGUGGAAGUUCGGGAGAAGACACUGCAGCCGUAAGCCUGAGGGCCAUCAUGUGCCUAUGGGUAUGGAGACCUCCUCCCCUCACUUGCCAGCUGUGUGAUGUUGAUGAGUUGCUUUACCUCUGUGAGCCUCAAUUUCCAUCUCUUUAAAAGGAAAAGGCGAGACGAUGUGACUGAGUUCUGGGUCAGUUAACUGUCCAUGGAAGAGAUGUGUGCUGCUUUCAGGCUUGGUCCACAAAGUGAGAUCCAACCCAUUUCCUUCCCUGCCUGCAAGUCAGAGGCAGAAGAUCUGACAGAGAACUUCAAAAUUCAGGGGAGGGACAGCGUCUUGUGUGGUCAAGAGCCUGGGUCACAGAAUGACUGAAUGGAUCAGAUCCUCCUCCCCCUCCUUUAAUGUGGGUAAGAAAUAAACAUGGGCUGUGUAAAGUU